GUCAUAUCGAACAGAUUGUGUUUCAUGAGCUUAAUGCACGUUUGCCCACUGCUCUGUGGACGGUAGAGAAGAGAAGAGAAGAGAAGAGAAGAGAAGAGAAGAGAAGAGAAGAGAAGAGAAGAGAAGAGAAGAGAAGAGAAGAGAAGAGAAGAGAAGAGAAGAGAAGAGAAGAGAAGAGAAGAGAAGAGAAGAGAAGAGAAGAGAAGAGAAGAGAAGAGAAGAGAAGAGAAGAGAAGAGAAGAGAAGAGAAGAGAAGAGAAGAGAAGAGAAGAGAAGAGAAGAGAAGAGAAGAGAAGAGAAGAGAAGAGAAGAGAAGAGAAGAGAAGAGAAGAGAAGAGAAGAGAAGAGAAGAGAAGAGAAGAGAAGAGAAGAGAAGAGAAGAGAAGAGAAGAGAAGAGAAGAGAAGAGAAGAGAAGAGAAGAGAAGAGAAGAGAAGAGAAGAGAAGAGAAGAGAAGAGAAGAGAAGAGAAGAGAAGAGAAGAGAAGAGAAGAGAAGAGAAGAGAAGAGAAGAGAAGAGAAGAGAAGAGAAGAGAAGAGAAGAGAAGAGAAGAGAAGAGAAGAGAAGAGAAGAGAAGAGAAGAGAAGAGAAGAGAAGAGAAGAGAAGAGAAGAGAAGAGAAGAGAAGAGAAGAGAAGAGAAGAGAAGAGAAGAGAAGAGAAGAGAAGAGAAGAGAAGAGAAGAGAAGAGAAGAGAAGAGAAGAGGUUUAACACAGCUUUAUUGAAUACAAUUUUCCUUCAAUAUAUCAUUAAUAAUACAAUAAAUCCUUAUUCAUGACAUCUUACCUUAAUUUUUUGUCAAAUGUAAAACCAAACCAUACUUUCAACAACAGUAUUUUAAAAAUUAAGAACAAGCUGUUCUUCAUAAAUACAACAUAAAAUUUCCUUUACACACCAAUUUUCUCUGAAAGUUAUUAAAUCUCCCACCAAAACAUAGUAAGAAAAUUCAAUUUUCAAUCUAUUUGUAAUUAAGCCCUUCAACAUUUUCACUGGGUCCAAACCACCAAUACCAAGUAGUUUAUUUUUUCUAGUCUUCCAAAUUGACAGUUUUGCUGUGCCUAAAACAUAGUUUAAGAGACCAUAAAUUAUCUUUUUUGACAUUCUAUACUUAACACCCCCUACAAAAA
ensembl:lncRNA